GGAGUUGUAGCUCAGUGAUAGAGUGCUUGCCUAGCAUGUGUGAGGCACUGGGUUGGAUUCUCAGCACCACCU
rnacentral:tRNA from 1 species